UCUCUUUAUAGAAAAUUAACUUUCUUUUCUGAAUUAGUUUAUUAAAACAAACAACAACAAAGAGUUAACUGAUGGCCGUUUCCAUUUCACCAUCCAAAAAAGCAGACUGUUCUCCAGUCUACACCAAGAAGGGAGUUUUGAAAAGAAUGAAGAGACAGACUUACGGGUGGCCGCUGCUCAUUGCUCUCAUCAAGUGAGCAAGGGGACAGAAAUGUUUUCUUGGUCUACGCUGAAGAAAAACGUCUGCGGUUACUUUUCAUUUUUGAUGUUGCCCUUGCCUGAAACUGUAUGAUGCCACAGUCAGCAGAUGCUCUUGGCCCUGAGCUGGCUGAAGCAGUUCAGAGACAAGGGAGGCUCUUCUGAACUUAAAGAAUUCCAGAACUAGUGGGCAAGCUUACUUCCAACCCACGAAGGGCAUUCAAGGAAGAUGUGUCCCAGGAGUCAUGAGAGCAUGGAGCAGCAGGACUAGAAAAGGGUCCAAUCUGAGAUGGCUGGAGAGUAUGAGCAGAGGGGCCAUCGUGUGUGUGUACCUUGGGGUUUUAAUUUGCUUUCAAUACACAUUUUGUUUCAAUCAAAUGUCUGUGGCCUUCUCCU